rnacentral:rRNA from 1 species
UACGUAGGGGGCUAGCGUUGUCCGGAUUUAUUGGGCGUAAAGCGCGUGUAGGCGGCCAAGUAGGUCCGGUGUGAAAACUCGAGGCUUAACCUCGAGAUGUCAUCGGAAACCAUUUGGCUAGAGUCCGGAAGAGGAAAGUGGAAUUCCUGGUGUAGCGGUGAAAUGCGUAGAGAUCGGAAAGAACACCAGUGGCGAAGGCGGCGACCUGGAUCUUAACUGACACUGAGGUGCGAAAGCGUGGGGAGCAAACAGG